rnacentral:misc_RNA from 1 species
GCCAUCUCUGUCAGUCCGGCUUUCCUCCUCAAGUUUCAUCAGCCUUUUAAAUAGAAAACUCAUAAAUCAGUUAAAGAUAUGGUUAACUGUUUCCUGAACUCUGCUAGAUCUUCCACCUAGUUUACAACGUUUCACGUUGCAUUGUUUCCAUCGCUAACGUUUCCCCUUCUCUGUCUCGUUUCUGCUUGACACGUCUUUUCAUAUCCUUAUCAUAAUUUUCCAUUUUCUUCACGAAAAUGGAUCCUGCAGGUAGUCCUGAUACGUACUCCAGUAGAAUUAAGAAGGAGACGUGGAAGCACACACUCAUUCUGUCAUAUCAAAGCAUUGGAGUGGUUUAUGGUCGCCUGAGUACUGCCCCUUUAUAUGUCUUUGGGACAAUCCCAACUGAAGAUUUCCAUUCAGAUGGAACUGCAUUUGAAUACUUCUCCUUUAUUUUCUGGACUCUGACCAUCAUUUCUUUACUUAAGUACGCUUUCAUAGUACUGAGGGCCGAUGACAAUGGGGAGGGUGGUACUUUUGCUUUAUACUCAUUAUUAUGCAGGCAUGCUAAAGUGGGUCUGCUUCCAGAUGAUAGAAGCACCGAGGAGAUCAUGCAUCAUGAAAGGGGAAGCCCUCUCAGGAUCAAGGCUGAAUCAAGGGCCAGAAGGGCUAUCGAAAAAUAUAAAAGUAGUCACUAUGUGAUGCUCUUUUUAGCACUGUCCGGAGCUUGUCUGAUAAUUGGUGAUGCAGUGCUUACCCCAUCCAUUUCAGUAUUAUCAGCUUCCUCAGGUCUUCAACGAGCAUUGUCAAAAAUUAAGUAUUCAUCUUCACCAAUGAGACAGCAAUCCAUAUCAGAUGCCAUUGAAAGAUAUGUACCGGUUGCUUUUGCAUGUGCUGUUCUGGUAUGCCUUUUCAUGCUUCAGCACUACGGGACUCGUAAAAUUGGGUUUAUUUUUGCUCCAGUUGUCACAAUAUGGCUCAUAUUUAUCAGUGGAGUGGGCAUAUAUAACAUAUUCCAUUUCAACUCUAAAAUCCUUGGUGCAAUCUCUCCAGUAUAUAUGUAUAAAUUUGUAAGAAAUAUUGACAAGAGUUGGAGGUCCUUAGGUAGCAUUCUUCUUUGUGUCGCAGGAUCAGAAGCAAUGUUUGCAGAUUUGGGUCAUUUCUCAAAGAAAUCGAUCCAGAUAACAUUUAGCUGCUUGAUUUAUCCACUUCUAGUUUUUUGCUAUGCUGGUCAAGCUGCAUAUAUCUCCAAAAACUUGAAUGCUUCUGAAGAUUUUAAUCAUCUUAGUAGAUCUAUUCCUGGUAAGUUGUUUCAUUGCUUUCAAUUUGGUUUAUUGGCUAUGUCUCCUGGGAUUUUGAAUCCUAACUCAUGGAAAAAUGGCAAUCCAGAACGUCUUGGUCAUGUCUUCUUAUUCUUAUCUCUGCUGGCUUCAGUUAUUGGAAGCCAGGCAACAAUAACAGCCAGCUUCUCCAUCAUAAACCAGUGCCUAGCACUUGGUUGUUUCCCUAGAGUAAAAGUUAUACAUACAUCAGAUAACCGUCGUGGGCAGGUUUACAUUCCAGAUGUCAAUUGGUUACUGAUGGUCCUCAGCCUUACUGUCACUAUUGGUUUCCGUGACUUGCACAGAAUUGCAAGUUCAGUAGGUAUGCUUUCCUGUCUUUAUCUUUUCAAGAUGGGUUUGGAUCACGAUUAGGAUAGGGCUAUUCCUAUGGGGAGGCAACAUUUUGUCGUUAGCUUCUUUUAUAUUCAAUUACAACAUCUAAAGUAUCUGUGAUACUUUGAAAACUGUUGAAUUAGAAGCAAUACAACUAUACUGUGAAUUAUGUCAUGUUUAAAGUAGCUUACUAGCUUGUACUGAUUAAAUCUUUGCAGGUCUGGCAAUUGUUUCUGGAAUGGUAGUUACUACUUGUUUGAUGUCUCUUGUGAUUGCUUUGCAUUGGGAGAAGACCUUGUUCCUAUCAGGAUGUUUUUUAUUGUUUUUUGGGUUUAUUGAGGCUGUGUAUGUAUCAGCAUGUAUGCUGAGUUUGCACGAAGGAGGUUGGUAUCUACUUGUUCUUUCAGCAGUGACCUUCACAGUCAUGUUCGCAUGGCAUUAUGGAACUAAGAAGAAAUAUGAGUUUGAUUUACAAAACAAGGUGCCUACCGAAUGGCUUACAGAUUUAAGCCCAGGACUUGGAGUUUCUAGAGUACCCGGAAUUGGUUUAAUCUACACUGAUAUAGUGUCAGGAAUCCCAGCUUUCUUCUCACAUUUCAUUACAAACCUUACUGCAUUUCAUCAAGUGUUGAUUUUUGUAUCUUUCAAGUUGUUACCGAUCCCAUAUGUGCUUCCAAGUGAGAGGUAUCUUGUAGGCAGGGUUGGUGCCAAAGACCACAAAAUCUAUAGGUGCAUUGUGAGAUAUGGGUACUGUGAUCAAGUCAGGGACACAGAUGAUUUUGAGGAGCAGAUUAUUCGUUCAAUAGGAGAAUUCAUUUCAUUAGAAGAAAAUGAUUCCGAGUCCCUGAUUUCUUCUGAAGGAAGAAUGAUGAUUGUUGGGAAGCCAUCACCAGAUGGAAAUGCUUUGAUUCCUUUACAUGACAACACCACCAUUAAUUUGGGUCCUGCAAACAUGGCAAAUGCUGAAACUUACAUAGGUGCAGCCAGUGAUAUGAUUGAGAAAGUUGGUCCUGUAUGCAGAAAAAAGGUAAGAUUUAUCUUACCUGAGAAUACUUCUAAAAUGCAGGUAUCUGUAAGGGUGGAGCUACAGGAACUGAUUAAUGCCAGGGAAAGUGGUACUGCAUAUUUCUUAGGCCAGUCGCAUUUAGAAUUCCGCGAUGAUUUAAAUUUCAUCAAGAAAUUCUUGAUCAUGACCUAUGUUUUUCUUGAUAAAAACUGUAGAGAACCUCCUGUGGCACUGAACAUACCUCAUGCUGCUCUUCUGAAGGUUGGCAUGGUCUACACUAUAUAAACUGUAUGCAUUGGAGAAGUUAAAAAAAUAAAAUAAGGAAGCUUGGUAAAUUUUUGAUCCUCUGGUAUAGUAGAUCCUACGUUUGAUGUGUUUGUAUUUAAGUUUGUGGAAGGCACACACUUUCUAUAGAGAUGAUUAAUGCUAGAGCAGUUUGCAUUGAACUAAUGAGCUUUGGCUUAGUAAAAACUUGAGUCGUCUGCAAGGGUGUAAGAUUAUGAUUACGAGUUCAAACCUCAAUUGGAGUUCA